GAUUUCAAUAGUAAAAAUCAUCAACAUCAAAGUUGUAUAACUCAUCAAUACCUAUAACUUUUAUUUUGGUUAUUUCUUCAUCCGACAAAGUAAUAGUAACAUUGUUCAUAAAAUUUACAUAUCUCUCUUAUAGUUUAUAAACAAUAUAAGAGAUAUGUACGUUUUGUGAACAAUGUUACAAAUCACUUUAUCGGAUGAAGAAAUAAUCCAAAUAAAAGUUAUAGAUCUUGAUGAGUUAUACGACUUUGUUAUUGAUGAGUUUUUCAGUUGAAAUC
rnacentral:pre_miRNA from 1 species